UUUUCACAUAGUAUGUAAUAUAUGUAAGUUUAGUUUAGGGUAACAGCCACCACAACCGGCACAGAGACGUCCAAACAGAACGCGGCUUGCGCUUUGUUGAGCCACCCUUUAUAAGCUCUGUUCAGUGAAGUUAAACAAGGAGAGGGCUGUGAAGCGUGGGAGUGAAUGGAGCUGGGCUUGCCGAGAAGGCUAUGGUGGUGUUGAACAGCCUGGCUGGGAUCGAAAUUGGCAGAAACGCCAUCGUGGAGGAAGGAGGAAUCGCAGCCCUGGUGGAGGCUAUUGAGGAUAGUUCCGAUAAGGGGGAGGAAUUUUCGGUGCUCACGCUUCUGCAAUUAUGUAUUCAUAGUGUUAGGAACCGGGGAAUGCUCGUGAGAGAAGGUGGAAUUCCUCCUCUUGUUGCCUUGUCUCAGAAUGGAACUGCUAAAGCUAAGCACAAGGCUGAAACACUUCUUGGGUACUUGAGAGAACCGAGGCAAGAAGCUUCUACGUCAACUCCUUAGAGGCUUAGAGAGAAGAAUGGGGGAGAAUUGAAGAAGAUGAAUGUGUACAAGGAAUAACAUACUAUAUAAGCAAUACUCCAUUCUGGAAGCUAAGGUUAUUUUGCUGGAAAGAUUUUGGUUACUUAACCACCUUGGACGGCUGACUGCUGUUUGGUGUUUCUGUUGUAGCAAAACAAGCUGGGUUUGUAUCCUUUUUCCAGCAUCUUUUCGACCUCCUCAAAUUGCAGUCCUUUGGUUUCAGGUACGAGGAAGAAGAUGGCCACAAGUCCAAUGAGUGAACAGCCUGCAAACAAGAGGAAUGUCCCUGAAGUGCCAAUAGCCUCUAUGAGAGUCAAGAAAGUGAGUGAGACGACGAGAUUUGAAACCCAGUUAGCUACUGCGGCUAUUCCUCCUCCAAUACCGCGGUAUCUCAAAGGGUAAAUCUCCGAAUUCACGACCCAUGGCAGUGUCCCCAUCCCAGGAGCGUAGGAUAUGAUGAACAAUCCGAGGAGCAAGACUGCAAAGAUCCCAUAUUUGCUGGGGCAGCCUUCUAUGUACCAUGAACGCCCUUCUGACUGGCACGAGUGUUUCACUUCAUCCGUCACAGAUAAACAGGCUCCUGGAUUAUACUGUUUGUGGUUUCAAGAAGCAAGAUCAGAAUCCAGAAAUGCAAAUUUGGAGAAUGAAGAUUCUGAGUUAGAAAGUUACUAGAGAGAAAAGUAACUUACUUUGCCGGCUUUGUUAGAGCAGAAGGCACAGUGUUGAGAGGUGGCAUGCUGAUGCACACACGAGUAGCAGCUCCAGGAUGAUGGUUGAUUAUUUGAUCCGGGUGUGAAUAAGAAAUUGGAGCAGGUUGAAUUGAGGCCAAAUUGUUGGGAUUGGGAGAGGCUAACUGGCGGGGAAUGUUGAGAGGCGAGAUAAAGGAGGCCAGAUAAGAGAGUCAAACAGCUUAUGAUCCCGAACAUGGAGAUUAUCAUCAGCCUCCUCCUCCCAUACCUGUCUACAAGCAGCAUACUGAUGAUUGUUCCCACAGCAUUGAGGCCUGAGGUUACGAGAGACAAUGCUAGAGCUGUGGUGUUUGAAGCAAAUCCAACCAGUUGCAGAAUGGAGGGAAUGUAAUACAUUCUGAUUCCCACCAAAUUCUGUGCAACUUGGACAGUAAUGCCUGCAUACAGACCCCUGCGGACAACUGUGUUCCUCCAUGCAUUCUUAACUUUUGAAAUCAGGUCAUCCCCAAUUGCACUUUCUUCAGACUUCUCUUCCUCCAAUGAUGACUUCAACCCACUCAUUUCUUCUUCAACUUCAUUUUUUGCCGGAUAGAUCUUUUCCAGAAUCGCCCUAGCUUCUUCCACCUUAUUCUGAUCAACCAAGCAAGCAAGCAAAGUUAGUUUAACCAUUGAAUUUACUACCUUCUCCAGGCAGGAUUCAAAAUUUUAAUGUGCCUUGGUUAUCUUUUGCGCUGUCCACCACGGAGGAAGGUGCGGCUUGCACAUUACUUCUCUAGGUACCCACUAAAGCAUAUGUUUAGUAGUAUUUAUUUUUAGCAUGCUUUCUACGCAUUUGAUGUUAAAUCAGAUUGAAUUUUUACACUUGAAGGAUUCUUGGAUGUUUUAAUGCUUUAAGAGCAUCACCAACAACUGUUUUUUGGUGAGUUCUUUUCUGACAUUAAUUUGCUGAAGUUGCACCAGCUUCCUGCGGCCGGCGUUUACUACCAUUUUUUUAAAAAAAUUAUUUUAUCUCUCUA